rnacentral:rRNA from 1 species
UACGUAGGGCGCAAGCGUUGUCCGGAAUUAUUGGGCGUAAAGAGCUCGUAGGCGGUCUGUUACGUCCGCUGUGAAAACCCAGGGCUUAACCCUGGGCUUGCAGUGGAUACGGGCAGACUAGAGGCAGGUAGGGGAGAAUGGAAUUCCCGGUGUAGCGGUGAAAUGCGCAGAUAUCGGGAGGAACACCUGCGGCGAAGGCGGGUUGCUGGGCCGACACUGACGCUGAAGUGCGAAAGCUAGGGGAGCGAACGGG